GAUGAACGCUGGCGGCGUGCCUAAUACAUGCAAGUCGAGCGAACGGACGAGAAGCUUGCUUCUCUGAUGUUAGCGGCGGACGGGUGAGUAACACGUGGAUAACCUACCUAUAAGACUGGGAUAACUUCGGGAAACCGGAGCUAAUACCGGAUAAUAUUUUGAACCGCAUGGUUCAAAAGUGAAAGACGGUCUUGCUGUCACUUAUAGAUGGAUCCGCGCUGCAUUAGCUAGUUGGUAAGGUAACGGCUUACCAAGGCAACGAUGCAUAGCCGACCUGAGAGGGUGAUCGGCCAAACUGGAAAUGAGACACGGUCCAGACUCCUACGGGAGGCAGCAGUAGGGAAUCUUCCGCAAUGGGCGAAAGCCUGACGGAGCAACGCCGCGUGAGUGAUGAAGGUCUUCGGAUCGUAAAACUCUGUUAUUAGGGAAGAACAUAUGUGUAAGUAACUGUGCACAUCUUGACGGUACCUAAUCAGAAAGCCACGGCUAACUACGUG
rnacentral:rRNA from 1 species